rfam:Erinaceus europaeus unplaced genomic scaffold scaffold00353, whole genome shotgun sequence
GGAUGUGAGGGUGAUCUGGCUGCAACAUCUGUCACCCCAUUGAUCGUUAGGGUUGAUUCGGCUAAUCUGGCUGGCUAGCCGGGUGUCCCCUUCCUCCCUCACUGCUCCAUGUGCGUCCCUCCCGAAGUUGUGUGCUCAGUCAAAGAAGACAGCCUUCCCACAAUAGAGGUGGACUUGUCUUCGAUCAAGGGUAUAUGAGUAGCUGCGCUCCCCUGCUGGAACCUCCAAACAAGCUCUCUGUUAAGACCAUGUAGUUCACUUUCCCACUUUCUAUGUAGCAGAUGUUGGAUGUCCUACAAUGUCCACCAGUCAUUGAGACACUGCCUCUCUUU